CGUUGCAACAACCCCGUGGUUUGGGCGCAGUGGGGCAAGGUAUUUGUCCGGUGCGCAGUGAAGCCACUGCAACA
rnacentral:sRNA from 12 species